AUAUUGAACAAUGGGGGAAACCCUGAUGCAGCGACGCCGCGUGAGUGAAGAAGUAUUUCGGUAUGGAAAGCUCUAUCAGCAGGGAAGAAGAAUGACGGUACCUGAAUAAGAAGCACCGGCUAAAUAAGGGGCAACAGCCGCGGUAAUACGUAUGGUGCAAGCGUUAUCCGGAUUUACUGGGUGUAAAGGGAGCGCAGGCGGUACGGCAAGUCUGAUGUGAAAGCCCGGGGCUCAACCCCGGUACUGCAUUGGAAACUGUCGGACUAGAGUGUCGGAGGGGUAAGUGGAAUUCCUAGUGUAGCGGUGAAAUGCGUAGAUAUUAGGAGGAACACCAGUGGCGAAGGCGGCUUACUGGACGAUAACUGACGCUGAGGCUCGAAAGCGUGGGGAGCAAA
rnacentral:rRNA from 1 species